rnacentral:rRNA from 1 species
UCCGUAGGGCGCAAGCGUUAUCCGGAAUUAUUGGGCGUAAAGAGCUCGUAGGUGGUUUGUCGCGUUGUUCGUGAAAACUCACAGCUUAACUGUGGGCGUGCGGGCGAUACGGGCAGACUGGAGUACUGCAGGGGAGACUGGAAUUCCUGGUGUAGCGGUGGAAUGCGCAGAUAUCAGGAGGAGCACCGGUGGCGAAGGCGGGUCUCUGGGCAGUAACUGACGCUGAGGAGCGAAAGCGUGGGGAGCGAACAGG